rnacentral:ncRNA from 2 species
GGGGAAGCCGGUGCGAUUCCGGCGCUGACCCGCAACCGUGACCCGCCCGGCACCGCCGUGCGCGAAGCCGGAUUGCCC